rnacentral:rRNA from 1 species
AAUCAACGCUGGCGGCGUGCCUCAGACAUGCAAGUCGAACGAUUAAAGCUCUCUUCGGAGAGUGUAUAGAGUGGCGCACGGGUGAGUAACACGUAAGUAAUCUACCUUCGAGUGGGGAAUAACCCGGGGAAACCCGAGCUAAUACCGCAUAAUGCAGCGGCAUCGCAAGAUGACAGUUGUUAAAGGAUUUAUUCGCUUGAAGAGGAGCUUGCGGCAGAUUAGCUUGUUGGUAAGGUAACGGCUUACCAAGGCGACGAUCUGUAACCGGUCUAAGAGGACGGUCGGUCACACUGACACUGAAUAACGGGUCAGACUCCUACGGGAGGCAGCAGUC